UACAUGCAGUCGAGCGGACAGAUGGGAGCUUGCUCCCUGAUGUUAGCGGCGGACGGGUGAGUAACACGUGGGUAACCUGCCUGUAAGACUGGGAUAACUCCGGGAAACCGGGGCUAAUACCGGAUGGUUGUUUGAACCGCAUGGUUCAAACAUAAAAGGUGGCUUCGGCUACCACUUACAGAUGGACCCGCGGCGCAUUAGCUAGUUGGUGAGGUAACGGCUCACCAAGGCAACGAUGCGUAGCCGACCUGAGAGGGUGAUCGGCCACACUGGGACUGAGACACGGCCCAGACUCCUACGGGAGGCAGCAGUAGGGAAUCUUCCGCAAUGGACGAAAGUCUGACGGAGCAACGCCGCGUGAGUGAUGAAGGUUUUCGGAUCGUAAAGCUCUGUUGUUAGGGAAGAACAAGUACCGUUCGAAUAGGGCGGUACCUUGACGGUACCUAACCAGAAAGCCACGGCUAACUACGUGCCAGCAGCCGCGGUAAUACGUAGGUGGCAAGCGUUGUCCGGAAUUAUUGGGCGUAAAGGGCUCGCAGGCGGUUUCUUAAGUCUGAUGUGAAAGCCCCCGGCUCAACCGGGGAGGGUCAUUGGAAACUGGGGAACUUGAGUGCAGAAGAGGAGAGUGGAAUUCCACGUGUAGCGGUGAAAUGCGUAGAGAUGUGGAGGAACACCAGUGGCGAAGGCGACUCUCUGGUCUGUAACUGACGCUGAGGAGCGAAAGCGUGGGGAGCGAACAGGAUUAGAUACCCUGGUAGUCCACGCCGUAAACGAUGAGUGCUAAGUGUUAGGGGGUUUCCGCCCCUUAGUGCUGCAGCUAACGCAUUAAGCACUCCGCCUGGGAGUACGGUCGCAAGACUGAAACUCAAAGGAAUUGACGGGGGCCCGCACAAGCGGUGGA
rnacentral:rRNA from 1 species